rnacentral:lncRNA from 12 species
ACCCAGCUCUGCACUGCCUUCAGAAUAAGCUCAUGAGCUAAAAUCUAAGUCCUGGAAGAUGCUACACCGUCUGACAUUAGCCACUCAGGGUGAACACUUAGUAGCUGCUCUCCCAGCAACCAGCACAAAGCGACUGGACAUUUCAGAAGAAUCAGGCCGUUAAAGAUGAAGAAAUGAUUGAAGGUAGGGCCAUUCUGAAGGUAAAUAUGUACUAUGUGGUGUUGCUGGUUGCUGGUGGUGAAGGCUGGGUCUUUGGGGCAUAAUGCUACAGACAGGAGUGUUGAGGAAGCAGAUCCCCAAGAAGAAAUCCUACCAUUUUGGAUGCCUGGGAGUAGCCAAGAAAGUCAACUGUGUUUGAAUACCACUGGCUAAGAUUCAAGGUGAUGGCAGGAAGGAAAGAGAGGAGUCUGGCCCCAGCUGGAAGUCUCCCUUCCUACAUGGGCAGGGCAACUGGCAGGGAAAGCGGACAAAGAGUCUCAUGUUCUGCUUGUGGAUGCUUUUAGAGGCUGAAAGACUGUGGCUAUUUCCAAGCCAAUAAGUUCCACAUCCUCCAGCAACAGGCUUGCUCUGAGUGUGCUCAUGUCACAUUUCCACAACACAGAAGACUUCAUGCAAUGUGUGUCAGAGCCAAAACACCAUUGCCAUAGUUCAGAAAGAUACUUCUAUGUGUGACAUCACCAGCUUGCAUGCCCCAUGGUUGUGACAUCCAUGCUGAGUCCUGGAGGUCAUAGAAAGCCUUACACAAUAGGAAGUUGUUUAAGUAGACAGGGGUCUUUAAGAGAUGGCAUUUCUAUGUGAUAGUCAUAUGCUGACUACCUCUAGCCUAGGAUGAAUAGAAGGCAUAGAGUUUUCCAGAACCAUAGUCCAGCAAGUCCUGCUUGUUCGCCACUGGGUUCUGGGCUUAAUCUGAGUCAGACAGCCCCCUCUCAGCCUAAUUCUGCAUCUGCCACAGCUUUCUUUGGCUGUCUAAUGCAUCAGGCUCCAUGUGAGCAACAGCUGCCCCUCGCGCACAGAAGACAAAGCUCAUUAUUCACAAAACUCCAGUGUGAACAGGUGAGCACAGCUCCAUCUAGGCAGAACGCACAACUAGCUGGUUACUCAAGUCAGUUCUGGCUGCUUCACAGACUCACCUCGGAUUACAAGAAACAGUUGAGUCAGACAUCACCCAGCCCUGUUCUAUGUUAUGCAUCUCUCUACCCAGUUGGAGGACUUGGUGAGGUGGCACGUACAUGCCAUCCCAACCUGAUGCUAAGCAGCCAGCUUUGAGGAAACCACCCUUAAUUUUCUCCCUCUGCUCCAGUAACUUCUACAGAUAUGUCUGAACAUUUCUCUUUGCUACUAGUCUCUGUAGUGGUUCCCUUUGGCUCUGAGUGCUGCAUGGGCCUGCAGGAAAUUGUCCUGAGUUUGUUUAGCUUAGGAAUAAUUCAAUCAGUCACUUGUCCAUUCCUGGUGGAGUAGUUGCAGCUCUAUAUAUCUUUCCAACAUUUUCCUAUUUCUGAAACCUAGCCUCAUACUGUGGACAAACGUUUACAUUCUGGGGGAAAUUAGAAGCUUUGAAAAGAGUUGAGACUCAGACACUAGGACCGAAAGUGAUUCCAGGUGGGCCUCCAUGAAAUCAAGCUAACAAAGAAGCAAGCACACAUAAUAUAGAAAGAGAAUAAACUUAGUCUAAGAAAUACGUUUAAUAGCA